CUCAAAGAGGCUUGAUACACCCACUUAUAGACCAUUAAAUUCAAAUUACAUACAACAAUGAUCAUCAUCUGCUCUGUUUUAACAUUUAUCUUGAGUUAUGGUGAAGCUAAUAAAAGUCCUAUCAGUUCAGAUAAAGCAUCUUUGUCUUUAAACGAAGGCAGUUAUGCUACUCUGUCCUGUACAUUUGAUGAAUCAGCUUACCGUCUCCACUGGUAUCGACAGAAGUCCGGAUCGAAGUUAGAGUUUUUGGUGCUGAUUGAUAAAUCCUCCAAAUUUGUAGUGCCCGCUAGUCCACCUCUUCCACAUAUGUCCACCAGUCUCCAAAAUAACAAUCGUGUGGAUCUGAUCAUCUCCUCUGCUGCUGUAUCAGACUCUGCUCUGUACUACUGUGGUCUGGAGCCCACAGUGACAGGAAAGCCUGCAACACAGUACAAAAUCCAAGUUUUGAUGAUUAUUUUAAAUGAAUAAAUUACUUGUACUGAGCUUUUGCAUACUGUAUAUAGUCCUCCAUGAUUCUCUGUUUAUACUGCAUUUCAGCAAUCAUAAUUUAACUGCUCAUGAUGACCACCAAUAGAACUAGUUUAGAUAUAUAGUUAUAGACUGUCAGUAAACGAAUAACUAGUUGGCAUGUUCUGUGGUGUGACUAGCUAAACUCCAUUUAUUCUUAUUUUAUUCACAGGUUUUUUUUUUUUGGUUUUUUUUACCUAAAAACAAUUGCUUCAUAGAAUAUUUGUUAGAAAAAUUGUGACACACCAGCUUCAAAUAAUGCACAAUAAAUUUUUGAUGCAACAGUUAAUUUUUUUCUGUAAAUCUAAUGAAACACUGUCAAGUCCUUUCAUUCUGAGAGAAAAACAGCCCAUCAGGGAAGAAGAUAAAGCCUCAGCCAGAGGGUGGAGCAAAAUCACAAAGCUGAAUGUUUUAAAGGCUGAUUCAUUUAGUCAUCCUGCUUUGAUAGCCUUACAAUCACUC